UGCGUAGGUGGAGAUACAUGUCAGGUGUGAAAUCCCACGGCUUAACCGUGGAACUGCGCUUGAAACUGUAUUUCUAGAGUAUGUCAGAGGUAAGCGGAAUUCCCGGAGUAGCGGUGAAAUGCGUAGAGAUCGGGAAGAACACCAGUGGCGAAGGCGGCUUACUGGGACAUAACUGACACUGAGGCACGAAAGCGUGGGGAGCGAACG
rnacentral:rRNA from 1 species